GACGAACGCUGGCGGCGUGCCUAAUACAUGCAAGUAGAACGCUGAAGAGAGGAGCUUACUCUUCUUGGAUGAGUUGCGAACGGGUGAGUAACGCGUAGGUAACCUGCCUUGUAGCGGGGGAUAACUAUUGGAAACGAUAGCUAAUACCGCAUAACAAUGGAUGACACAUGUCAUUUAUUUGAAAGGGGCAAUUGCUCCACUACAAGAUGGACCUGCGUUGUAUUAGCUAGUAGGUGAGGUAAUGGCUCACCUAGGCGACGAUACAUAGCCGACCUGAGAGGGUGAUCGGCCACACUGGGACUGAGACACGGCCCAGACUCCUACGGGAGGCAGCAGUAGGGAAUCUUCGGCAAUGGGGGCAACCCUGACCGAGCAACGCCGCGUGAGUGAAGAAGGUUUUCGGAUCGUAAAGCUCUGUUGUAAGUCAAGAACGGGUGUGAGAGUGGAAAGUUCACACUGUGACGGUAGCUUACCAGAAAGAGACGGCUAACUACGUG
rnacentral:rRNA from 1 species